CCCAGGUCCUAGAGGAUGGGGCCUGGAACACCAACAGGAUAUGGUAGAGGGAGAGAAGAAUACGAAGGCCCCAAACCAAAAAGCCCCGAUUUUAGAUGUGACCUGUAGUUUCAUUCCAGUUUGUUUUGUCUGUCUUGUUUAGACACCAACUUUUUAAUUCUUGCAUUUUAGUAAGAAAGCUACGUUUUUAUGGAUGUUAGAAACUUACUGACCUAAUAUUUGUAAGUGGUCUGUUUGGGCAAGUACAACUUAAUUAUGUAAUGCAGUGUUUCCAAACAAGUUUAGCUGUUUUUUGAUGUAUAACGUCCCUAACUUGAUGGCAGUGUACAUUGUGCCACUGAAUUCCCAAAGUGUACCAACUUUUUUUUACUGUGCUUCAAAUAAAU
rnacentral:misc_RNA from 1 species